AGUCUGGUGCCAGCAGCCGCGGUAAUUCCAGCUCCAAUAGCGUAUAUUAAAGUUGUUGCAGUUAAAAAGCUCGUAGUUGGAUUUCUGGGAGGGUGCUAAUGUCCGCCGUAGCGCGUGUGCAGCCGCGCCCUUCCAUCCUUCUGUUAACGCCUCUUGGCAUUCAUUUGCUGGUGGCGGGCUCAGAUAUUUUACCUUGAGAAAAUUAGAGUGUUUCAGGCAGGCUAGGCCGGAAUACAUUAGCAUGGAAUAAUGGAAUAGGACUACGGUCUCUUUGUUGGUUUGAGGGACUGCAGUAAUGAUUAAUAGGGAUAGUUGGGGGCAUUAGUAUUUAAUUGUCAGAGGUGGAAUUCUCGGAUUUGUUAAAGACUAACUUAUGCGAAAGCAUUUGCCAAGGAUGUUUUCAUUAAUCAAGAACGAAAGUUAGGGGAUCAAAGACGAUCAGAUACCGUCGUAGUCUUAACUAUAAACUAUACCGACUCGGGAUCGGCUGGAACACACGUGUCCAGUCGGCACCGUAUGAGAAAUCAAAGUCUUUGGGUUCUGGGGGAAGUAUGGUACGCAAGUCUGAAACUUAAAGGAAUUGACGGAACAGCACACCAGAAGUGGAACCUGCGGCUUAAUUUGACUCAACACGGGGAAACUCACGAGCGCAAGACAGAGAAGGGAUUGACAGAUUGAGAGCUCUUUCUUGAUUCUUUGGGUGGUGGUGCAUGGCCGUUCUUAGUUGGUGGAGUGAUUUGUCUGGUUAAUUCCGUUAACGAACGAGACCUUAACCUGCUAACUAGUCGCCCUGUGAACAACAGGAUGUACUUCUUAGAGGGACUAUUGUGCAAGAAGCCAAUGGAAGUUUAAGGCAAUAACAGGUCUGUGAUGCCCCUAGACGUGCUCGGCCGCACGCGCGUUACAAUGACUGGCGCAGAAAGCAUUUCCUGUCCUGGGAAGGUACGGGUAAUCUUAUUAAUACCAGUCGUGUUAGGGAUAGUUCUUUGGAAUUUUGGAUCUUGAACGAGGAAUUUCUAGUAAGUGCAAGUCAUCAGCUUGCGUUGAUUAUGUCCCUGCCGUUUGUACACACCGCCCGUCGCUUGUAGUAACGAAUGGUCUGGUGAACCUUCUGGACUGCUUCUGCAAAGAGGCGGGAAAAUAAGUAAACCCUACCAUUUGGAACAGAUCGGAAGAGCGUCGUGU
rnacentral:rRNA from 1 species